rnacentral:rRNA from 1 species
AUACAGAGGGUGCAAGCGUUAAUCGGAAUUACUGGGCGUAAAGCGCGCGUAGGCGGUUUAAUCAGUCGGAUGUGAAAGCCCCGGGCUCAACCUGGGAACUGCAUUCGAUACUGUUAAGCUAGAGUAUGGUAGAGGGAAGUGGAAUUCCAGGUGUAGCGGUGAAAUGCGUAGAUAUCUGGAGGAACAUCAGUGGCGAAGGCGACUUCCUGGACCAAUACUGACGCUGAGGUGCGAAAGCGUGGGGAGCAAACAGGAUUAGAUACCCUUGUAGUCC